UACGUAGGGAGCAAGCGUUGUCCGGAAUCAUUGGGCGUAAAGCGCGCGUAGGUGGCUUCGUAAGUCCGUUGUGAAAGUCAAAGGCUCAACCUUUGAAAGCCGAUGGAUACUGUGGAGCUAGAGUACGGAAGAGGCGAGUGGAAUUCCUGGUGUAGCGGUGGAAUGCGCAGAUAUCAGGAGGAACACCAAUAGCGAAGGCAGCUCGCUGGGACGUUACUGACGCUGAGGAGCGAAAGCGUGGGGAGCGAACAGG
rnacentral:rRNA from 1 species